UACGGAGGAUGCAAGCGUUAUCCGGAAUGAUUGGGCGUAAAGCGUCCGCAGGUGGCUAUGUAAGUCUGCUGUUAAAGAGUCUAGCUCAACUAGAUAAGAGCAGUGGAAACUACAAGGCUAGAGUACGUUCGGGGCAGAGGGAAUUCCUGGUGUAGCGGUGAAAUGCGUAGAGAUCAGGAAGAACACCAGCGGCGAAGGCGCUCUGCUAGGCCGUAACUGACACUGAGGGACGAAAGCUAGGGGAGCGAAUGGG
rnacentral:rRNA from 1 species